AGCGCGACUCUCUCUCUGGGGCUCCUCAGCGCGGUUCUCCCCGGCGGCUCCUCAGCGCGGUUCUCCCACUCUCCUCAGCGCGGCCCUCCCCAUCUCUCUGGGAGGGUUUGAACACGGUCAGCACGGAACUGGGCGGACGGCGCGGGACGGGUGAUCACUGGCGUUGCUGAGCUCUAGAGGCCAGAAGUCUGAAAAGAGUCUUAGGGGACGAAAAAUCAAGGUGUCAGCAGGGCUGGUUCCUUCUGGAGGCUUCAGGGGAGCAUCCCUUCCCUUUCCUUGCCUUUUCUUCUGGAAGCUGCCUGCAUUCUUUGGUUUGUGACCCCUUCCUCAAAUCACAUUGCCAUUUCCUGCCCCUGCUUCCAUGGCCACGUGACCCUUUUUCUUUUCUGUAGUCAAACAUUCUUCUGCCUCUCUCUUAUAAGGACCCUUGUGAUUACACCGGGCCCAUUCAGAUAAUCCAGGAUGAUCUCUCCAUCUCAAGGUCCUUAAUUUGACACAUCUGCAGAGUGCCCUUUGCCAUAGAAGGCGAUAGUCACAGGUUCUAGGAGUUAGGACCUGGUUACUUUGGGGGCCAUUGUUCAGCCUACUAUGAUUUGUAAUAGCCCAAACUGGGAAUGACCCACAU
rnacentral:lncRNA from 1 species